rnacentral:piRNA from 1 species
UGGCAUUGAUGUCAUGCUGGUUAUCGAC